CGGUAAUUCCAGCUCCAAUAGCGUAUACUAAAGUUGUUGCAGUUAAAAAGCUCGUAGUUGGAUUUCUGCGGGGACGGAGCGGCCGGUCGCAACUUGCGACUCGAGCUAGCGCUUUCCCCGCAUCCUGCCGCGAACCGUGCUACCAUUAGUUUGGUGGCGCUGGGGAUCGGCUCGAUUACUUUGAGAAAAAUAGAGUGUUCAAAGCAGGCCACACGCCUUGAAUAAGUUAGCAUGGAAUAAUGACUAAGGACUUCGGUUCUAUUUUGUUGGUGUUCGGGACUGAAGUAAUGAUUGAUAGGGACAGUUGGGGCGGUCUGUAUUCCAAAGCGAGAGGUGAAAUUCUUAGACCUUCGGAAGACAAACAGCUGCGAAAGCGUUCCGCAAGGAUGUUCCCUUUGAUCAAGAACGAAAGUUGGGGGAUCGAAGACGAUCAGAUACCGUCGUAGUCUCAACUAUAAACUAUACCAGCUAGGGAUCGGUCAACGUUUAAUUAUUCGACUUGAUCGGCACCUUAUGAGAAAUCAAAGCAUCUGGGUUCCGGGGGGAGUAUGGUCGCAAGGCUGAAACUUAAAGGAAUUGACGGAAGGGCACCACCAGCCGUGGAGCCUGUGGCUUAAUUUGACUCAACACGGGAAAACUUACCAGGUCCAGACAUAGUAAGGAUUGACAGAUUGAUAGCUCUUUCUUGAUUCUGUGGGUGGUGGUGCAUGGCCGUUCUUAGUUGGUGGAGUGAUUUGUCUGGUUAAUUCCGUUAACGAACGAGACCCCAGCCUGCUAAAUAGCGCGGCUGAGCUUUGCUCGGUGCGAGCUUCUUAGAGGGACUAUGAUGCGCGAUAGCACAUGGAAGUUUGGGGCAAUACCAGGUCUGUGAUGCCCUUAGAUGUUCUGGUCCGCACACGGGCUACACUGGCGCCUGCAACGAGCAUAUCAGCUGGCCCGAGAGGGUCUUGGCUAAUCUUUUGAACCGGCGCCGUGCUUGGGAUUGACCUUUGCAAUUGUUGGUCAUGCAACGAGGAAUGCCUUGUAAACGCGAGUCAUCAGCUCGCAUUGAAUACGUCCCUGCCCUUUGUACACACCGCCCGUCGCUCCUACCGAUGAAUGUUCCGAUGAAAUUUUCGGAGAGCGCCAGAGAACGGGGCUCCGCCUUGCAGAUCUGGAGGCUCAAAGUCACUUAAAUCUGAACAUUUCGAGGAAGGAGAAGUCGUAACAAGGUAACC
rnacentral:rRNA from 1 species